AUUAAAAGAUAAACUCAGAUUUAAAAGACUGCAGAAGAAUGUUGAAAUUAGUAACUUUUGUGGCCCUGGUUAGUUUGGUGGCUUCAGCUUCAAUCUCAACUCCCCUAUUGGCCGAAUUGGAACCACAACCUUCCUUUAGCACCGGCAAAUACUAAACAUGCGGGCUAAUGUGGAGGCUUUAACGCCCAUAUUUUAAAAGUACCCCACUAGUGGCGACAGCUGCCAAUUAUACCCUCAACACUGACCACCGUACAUCAUUUGCCCUACGCUUACGCCUCAAAUUAUUUGACUUAUGCUUCACCAGCUGAGAUUUCUCAUUAUAGAGUAGCUUACUGAUCAUUGAAUAAUUUGAAAGCUUUGUUGUGGAGACUUUUUUAAUGAAAAUAGCACACGCGAUCACUACAUAAAACGAAACACUUUAAACUUUUAACAAACAGCCUAAAA